UAUUGCACAAUGGGGGAAACCCUGAUGCAGCAACGCCGCGUGAGUGAAGAAGUAUUUCGGUAUGUAAAGCUCUAUCAGCAGGGAAGAAGAAAGACGGUACCUGACUAAGAAGCUCCGGCUAAAUACGUGCCAGCAGCCGCGGUAAUACGUAGGGGGCAAGCGUUAUCCGGAUUCACUGGGUGUAAAGGGAGCGUAGACGGCGAGACAAGUCUGGAGUGAAAGGCCGGGGCCCAACCCCGGGACUGCUCUGGAAACUGCCUGGCUGGAGUACAGGAGAGGUAAGUGGAAUUCCUAGUGUAGCGGUGAAAUGCGUAGAUAUUAGGAGGAACACCGGUGGCGAAGGCGGCCUGCUGGACUGCGACUGACGUUGAGGCCCGAAAGCGUGGGGAGCAAACAGG
rnacentral:rRNA from 1 species